UUCCGGUUGAUCCUGCCGGACCCGACUGCUAUCGGAGUGAGACUAAGCCAUGCAAGUCGUGCGUCCCGAGCUGGCGGGACGCGGCAUACGGCUCAGUAACACGUGGUCAACCUACCCUGCGGACGGCUAUAACCCCGGGAAACUGGGGCUAAUAGCCGAUAGGAGAUGGGUGCUGGAAGGCCCCUUCUCCGAAAGGCCUAAUCACCCAUGCUGUGAUUAGGUGCCGCAGGAUGGGACUGCGCCCUAUCAGGUAGACGGUGGGGUAAUGGCCCACCGUGCCUAUAACGGGUGCGGGCCCUGGGAGGGGGAGCCCGGAGAUGGGCACUGAGACAAGGGCCCAGGCCCUACGGGGCGCAGCAGGCGCGAAAACUCCGCUAUGCGCGAAAGCGCGACGGGGUCACUCCGAGUGCCGCCCGCUGAGGGCGGCUUUUGCUCAGUCCAAAAGGCUGGGCGAAUAAGGGGAGGGCAAGUUUGGUGUCAGCCGCCGCGGUAAUACCAACUCCCCGAGUGGUCGGGACGAUUAUUGGGCUUAAAGCGUCCGUAGCCGGCCCGGUGUGUCUCUGGUUAAAUCCGGCGUCUCAAGCGCCGGACCGCCGGAGAUACUACUGGGCUAGGGAGCGGGAGAGGCGGGCGGUAUUCCCUGGGUAGGGGUAAAAUCCUAAGAUCCAGGGAGGACCAUCGGUGGCGAAGGCGGCCCGCUAGAACGCGUCCGACGGUGAGGGACGAAAGCUGGGGGAGCGAUCCGGAUUAGAUACCCGGGUAGUCCCAGCCGUAAACGAUGCAGGCUAGGUGUGUGGGCGCCUUAGGGGUGUCCAUGUGCCGAAGGGAAACCGUUAAGCCUGCCGCCUGGGGAGUACGGCCGCAAGGCCGAAACUUAAAGGAAUUGGCGGGGGAGCACCACAAGGGGUGGAGCCUGCGGUUCAAUUGGAGUCAACGCCCGGAACCUUACCCGGGGAGACAGCAGGAUGAAGGCCGGGCUGAAGACCCUGCCAGACAAGCUGAGAGGUGGUGCAUGGCCGUCGCCGGCUCGUACCGUGAGGCGUCCAGUUAAGUCUGGCAACGAGNGAGACCCA
rnacentral:rRNA from 1 species